rnacentral:rRNA from 1 species
AGCGAUCGUUGGCGGCAGGCCUAACACAUGCAAGUCGAGCGAGGCGAAGAGCCGAGCGGCGAACGGGUGCGUAAUACAUGGGAAUCUACCUCGGAGUGGGGGAUAACAUUCAGAAAUGAGUGCUAAUACCGCAUAAUCCAUAUUGGGAAAGUUUUAACGCUCUGAGAGGAGCCCAUGGCUGAUUAGCUAGUUGGUGGGGUAAAAGCCUACCAAGGCGACGAUCAGUAGCUGGUUUGAGAGGAUGAUCAGCCACACUGGGACUGAGACACGGCCCAGACUCCUACGGGAGGCAGCAGUGGGGAAUAUUGGACAAUGGGGGCAACCCUGAUCCAGCCAUGCCGCGUGGAUGAUGAAGGCCCUAGGGUUGUAAAGUCCUUUUUACGGGGAAGAUAAUGACGGUACCCGUAGGAUAAGCCCCGGCUAACUUCGUGCCAGCAGCCGCGGUAA